GCUAGUUCACGGGCCCACUGCGGAAGUCAACCGGGUACGUACGUUUGUGUGAUCAUAAUUACUAUGUAUUUAUGUACAUGUUUGAAAAACUAGAGAUCGUACGGCAGUACUAAAUAGUAGAACUAUUAUAUUUGUAUUCGUAAAGCUUUGCGAGGCACGUUCCACUGUUGCUAACAGUAAGGUCCGUGAGAAAUCGUAAGGUUGCGCGAAAGUAUUAGAUAGUAGAACUAUCAUAUGUACCUAUAGACCUAUAUGCCUGAGAGGCGAGAACUUGUACAGCUUUACGAGGUGUGAACAGCUAGGUUCGCGAGGAUUCGUAUAUGUUGUGUGCAAGUCUUGUACAGCUUUACGAGGUGUGAACAGCUAGGUUCGCGAGGAUUCGUAUAUGUUGUGUGCAAGUCUUGUACAGCUUUACGAGGUGUGAACAGCUAGGUUCGCGAGGAUUCGUAUAUGUUGUGUGCAAGUCUUGUACAGCUUUACGAGGUGUGAACAGCUAGGUUCGCGAGGAUUCGUAUAUGUUGUGUGCAAGUCUUGUACAGCUUUACGAGGUGCGACCAGCAAGGUUCGCGAGGAUUCGUAUAUGUUGUGUGCAAGUAUAAAAUGGCAGGGCCUGGCAUGGACUUGAAAGUCACGUUCCACUGUCGUGGAGUCCUUGAGUAACACUCAAAGGUUUGCUUUAAACGGCGCGGCGGUAACUUGUUGGUAAGGUUAUUGAAAGUGGUAAUGGUAAGGUAAUGUGUGAGUAAAAGGUAAAGGUAAUAAUUUCCAUAAAUCGUCAGUGUAAAACGAUUCGACUGUAGUGACAUUUCAAAGUUGUCCGGUUGUUUAUAAAACACUAGCAAACGCUACGCUAGUAAAAUGCACGUAAAAGUCAUUACGGGGCUUUAAUCGCAAGUACAAAGCGUCAGAAAAAACUUCAUUUCAUCAUUAUUGUUUCAACCCUGAAGCUAGAAAUAAAAUUCUUACAUUGGGACAAUGCAUUCUGAAACUGUUUUUCAAGUAAGUGAAGUAAAAUUAUUCAGUCAAAGCCCGACAAGGGCAAAGGCAAUACUUGGUCAUUUGAAGGAAAAGGGAAAGGAGUAGGUAGCUAGAGUAAAAUGUGAGGAAACCACUGGGAGUAUGAAGAUUUAUUAUAUUCCAUUAAUAGGCAGGUACAGUUUGGUUUUAUCUAUUUUUAUAUUCAUUUUGAUUUUGCCGCUAGUGGAUCUCAAGUGUUCGUAAUUGUUUCGAGCAUGAGAUACCUACCUGAAUAUGUCAUUGCCUAGAUAUAAAGUAGAUGAUUUCGAUAAUAAACUGUUUGAAUCGGACCAAGCAAGAUGAGUGCUCGUUGGCUGAACGUGCAGCAAUAUUUGAGACUGUUUGAUUCCACAUGGACUAACAGGCGGGAUAUCGGUGUCCAUCGACUGAUCAC
rnacentral:lncRNA from 1 species